GUGCCUAACACAUGCAAGUCGAGCGAUUUACUUCGGUAAAGAGCGGCGGACGGGUGAGUAACGCGUGGGUAACCUGCCCUGUACACACGGAUAACAUACCGAAAGGUAUGCUAAUACGAGAUAACAUGAGAAAGUCGCAUGGCUUUCUUAUCAAAGUUUUUGCGGUACAGGAUGGACCCGCGUCUGAUUAGCUAGUUGGUAAGGUAACGGCUUACCAAGGCGACGAUCAGUAGCCGACCUGAGAGGGUGAUCGGCCACAUUGGAACUGAGACACGGUCCAAACUCCUACGGGAGGCAGCAGUGGGGAAUAUUGCACAAUGGGCGAAAGCCUGAUGCAGCAACGCCGCGUGAGCGAUGAAGGCCUUCGGGUCGUAAAGCUCUGUCCUCAAGGAAGAUAAUGACGGUACUUGAGGAGGAAGCCCCGGCUAACUACGUGCCAGCAGCCGCGGUAAUACGUAGGGGGCUAGCGUUAUCCGGAAUUACUGGGCGUAAAGGGUGCGUAGGCGGUCUUUCAAGUCAGGAGUGAAAGGCUACGGCUCAACCGUAGUAAGCUCUUGAAACUGUAAGACUUGAGUGCAGGAGAGGAGAGUAGAAUUCCUAGUGUAGCGGUGAAAUGCGUAGAUAUUAGGAGGAAUACCAGUUGCGAAGGCGGCUCUCUGGACUGUAACUGACGCUGAGGCACGAAAGCGUGGGGAGCAAACAGGAUUAGAUACCCUGGUAGUCCACGCCGUANACGAUGAGUACUAGCUGUCGGAGGGUUACCCCCUUCGGUGGCGCAGCUAACGCAUUAAGUACUCCGCCUGGGAAGUACGCUCGCAAGAGUGAAACUCAAAGGAAUUGACGGGGACCGGCACAAGUAGCGGAGCAUGUGGUUUAAUUCGAAGCAACGCGAAGAACUUUACCUAAGCUUGACAUCCUUUUGACCGAUGCCUAAUCGCAUCUUUCCCUUCGGGGACAGAAGUGACAGGUGGUGCAUGGUUGUCGUCAGCUCGUGUCGUGAGAUGUUGGGUUAAGUCCCGCAACGAGCGCAACCCUUGCCUUUAGUUGCCAGCAUUAAGUUGGGCACUCUAGAGGGACUGCCAGGGAUAACCUGGAGGAAGGUGGGGAUGACGUCAAAUCAUCAUGCCCCUUAUGCUUAGGGCUACACACGUGCUACAAUGGGUGGUACAGAGGGCAGCCAAACCGUGAGGUGGAGCUAAUCCCUUAAAGCCAUUCUCAGUUCGGAUUGUAGGCUGAAACUCGCCUACAUGAAGCUGGAGUUACUAGUAAUCGCAGAUCAGAAUGCUGCGGUGAAUGCGUUCCCGGGUCUUGUACACACCGCCCGUCACACCACGGAAGUUGGGGGCGCCCGAAGCCGGAUAGCUAACCUUAAGGAAGCGUCCGUCGAAGGUGAAAUCAAUAACUGGGGUGAAGU
rnacentral:rRNA from 1 species